rnacentral:lncRNA from 1 species
AUGUCUGUUGGUGAUAAGCCUCCCAGUCUGUGGUUUUUCCAUCAGAGCAGCCCAAAUGGACUAAGACAGACACUUUGGGUACUGACGUACAAAUUUAUGCAUCAGCCUGUUGACCUUGCACUCUGGGAACCUGGGAGAAUGGCAGAAGAGCUCAUAGUAACAUCCAGCAAACGAGGAGCUGGGAGAAUGGUGGAGGUGAGGAGGAGCAGAAGAAUCCUCAUGCACAAAGGCUAAGGUGAGCUGUGCUAGAAGGCUAGAGCCACGUGUCCUUGGACUUUGAGAAAUAGCACAGUUGUUUCUGGUCAGUGGUCACCAUCUGUUUGUAAAGAACUUUUAAAGCAUGUCCCCUGGCAUGGAUCCCACAUGGAUUCUGAACUGAUUCUAUGAUACAUGUUUUCCUGUGCUUCUUAAUUGUUCAGGAGAAGAUGGACAGUGUUACCCAGGGAGCUAAUGUGGGUAAGUGAGUGAAUAUCAAGUUUCCAUUAACCAUUUUCAAAUACUGAAAAUAGUUCCAUGUCUCUGAGGGACUCCAGGUUGGGACAUUGCUUUCGUCUGUUUCUGACGAGAGCAACCCUAUAGCGCUGCCCUCUUUCUCAACAAUCACAUCUGAACAGUCACAAAGGCUCACUGAGAAAAAUGGUUUCUCUUCUUUAGAUGCACGUUCCAGAAUAUUCUGAGCAGCAGUUAGAACAACAGGAUGUAAAUACUUUUAGUACCUGUCCCAAAGUAGCAUUUUCAGCCCAAUAAUAACUCAGGAUGCACCUGCUAAAAGGGUUCCGAUGGUGGCGGUUUAGUUUCUGCAUGCACAGAAUGUUCUGUGGGGUCUCUUACCUAAGUAACAACAUACUGGGGUUUAUUUUACUCUCAGAACGUGGAAAAUGCAAGCUGUAGUUUUCCCGUCAGUAGCAAUUCCUCCCCUUUCAGCUCUGAUUGUGCUUGCUAGGAUGAGGACAGCUUUACAAACAAGAGGCUCCGUCACAACCCCCCUGGGCUGCUGUUGGGAUGAGGGCACAGCUCUUUGAAGGCUACAGACUUCCAGUAAAAGGGCAGUGUAGCAACGCUAUUUGUCAGUAGUAGGGACGCUGACACGAGUCUCCAUGCCUGUAGCCUUACCUGCUUGGGAGAAUGCUGUGACUGUAAGGGUCCUUUCUGAAGGAAGCGCUCAUCGGAGAGCAAAUGACUUGUGGCUUUUCAUUUAAUCCUUCAUGCAUUCAUUCAACAAACAUUCAUACGUACCUGCACCCGACAUCAUGUUCACAACCCUUACCCCAUGGAGUCUACAGGGGAAGCCUUACACCAACCAAUAAUUACUGUUCUGUUCAGGAGUGUGGGGAGAAAGGACAGAUAUUAUGAGAGCAUAGUGAGGGAUGAGCUGACCCCUGCUGGGGGUCAGAGAGGUCUUCCCUAAGAAAGUUGUAUUCACUUCAUGUUGUACAAAUUCCAUUUCUGGGGCGUCUGGGUGGCUCAGUUGGUUAAGUGUCCGACUUUGGCUCAGGACAUGAUCUCACGGUUCCUGCAAUCGAGCCCCGCAUGGGGCUCUGUGCUGACAGCUCAGAGCCUGGAGCUGCUUCAAAUUCUGGGUCUCCCUCUCUCUCUGCCCCUCCCCUGCUCAUGCUCUCUCUCGAAAAUAAAUAAUUUAAAAAACAUUAAAAA